GACGAACGCUGGCGGCGUGCUUAACACAUGCAAGUCGAACGAAGAGCGAUGGAAUCUUGCUUCUAUCAAUCUUAGUGGCGAACGGGUGAGUAACGCGUAAUCAACCUGCCCUUCAGAGGGGGACAACAGUUGGAAACGACUGCUAAUACCGCAUACGAUCUAAUCUCGGCAUCGAGGAGAGAUGAAAGGUGGCCGCUACAUGUAAGCUAUCACUGAAGGAGGGGAUUGCGUCUGAUUAGCUAGUUGGAGGGGUAACGGCGCACCAAGGCGAUGAUCAGUAGCGGGCCUGAGAGGAUGAGCGGCGUCGCUGGGACGGAGAGAUGGCCCAGAAUCCUGCGGGAGGCAGAAGGGGCGGAUCUUUCGCAAUGGACGAAAGUCUGACGGAGCAACGCCGCGUGCGUGAUGACGGCCUUCGGGUUGUAAAGCUCUGUUAAUCGGGAGGAAAGGCAUUCUUGCGAAUAGUGAGAAGGAUUGACAGUACCGGAAGAGAAAGCCACGGCUAACUACGUG
rnacentral:rRNA from 1 species